UGGCCAGGCGAGGUGGCCACCUAGCUCGCCGGAGCGUUGCCUGGCACUCUAUGGCCUUGGAGAAAGCUAUACGUCAUUGUGUUCGGCCUGCAGAUGCUGGCCAUGGCAGGACUCCCUAAGCUCGCAGUCUUUGAUCUGGAUUACACGCUCUGGCCUUUCUGGGUCGACACGCACGUAGACCCCCCAUUCCACCGGAGCAGUGAUGGAAUUGUACGAGAUAGCCGGGGCCAUAUCGUCCGACUAUACCCAGAUGUGCCUGAGAUCAUGGUACGUCUACAGGGACUUGGGGUGCCCGUCGCAGCCGCUUCCCGGACUGGUGAGAUUGAAGGGGCCAACCAGCUACUAGAGGUCUUUGACCUUGUCAAAUAUUUUGUUUAUCGGGAAAUCUAUCCAGGCAGCAAGGUCACCCACUUUAAGAGGUUGCAGCAGAAGACUGGAGUUUCUUUCUCCCAGAUGAUCUUCUUUGAUGAUGAGAAGCGGAAUAUUGUGGACAUCAGCACACUGGGUACUGAGUCGUGAGGACAGCCAUUUGGGGAAUGAGGAGUAAGGUAGAUUUGUACAGAAUGGAUAGUCUGCCUGACAGGGUGUUACCUGCAUUCAUGUCCAGAAAGGAAUGACUCUUCAAACCCUAACUCUAGGAUUAGAGACAUUUGCAAAGGUCCAACCAGGAUCCUAAGGUCCAGCCCUGUGGGGAUGAAUCUCAUUUGAGUCAUAAAACAGAAAAGAG